UACGGAGGGGGCGAGCGUUAUUCGGAAUUAUUGGGCGUAAAGGGCGCGUAGGCGGCUUGGCAAGUCAAAGGUGAAAUCCCUCGGCUCAACUGAGGAACUGCCUUUGAAACUGCCUGGCUUGAGGCCGGGAGGGGGUAGCGGAAUUCCCAGUGUAGCGGUGAAAUGCGUAGAUAUUGGGAGGAACACCAGUGGCGAAGGCGGCUACCUGGACCGGUUCUGACGCUGAUGCGCGAAAGCGUGGGGAGCAAACAGG
rnacentral:rRNA from 1 species